GACGAACGCUGGCGGCGUGCUUAACACAUGCAAGUCGAACGGAAAGGCCCUUCGGGGUACUCGAGUGGCGAACGGGUGAGUAACACGUGGGUGAUCUGCCCUGCACUUUGGGAUAAGCCUGGGAAACUGGGUCUAAUACCGAAUACACCUUGCUGGUCGCAUGAUCUGGUGGGGGAAAGCUUUUGCGGUGUGGGAUGGGCCCGCGGCCUAUCAGCUUGUUGGUGAGGUUAUGGCUACCAAGGCGACGACGGGUAGCCGGCCUGAGAGGGUGACCUGCCACACUGGGACUGAGAUACGGCCCAGACUCCUACGGGAGGCAGCAGUGGGGAAUCUUGCGCAAUGGGCGAAAGCCUGACGCAGCGACGCCGCGUGAGGGAUGACGGCCUGGU
rnacentral:rRNA from 1 species